UACAGAGGGGCGAGCGUUGUUCGGAAUUACUGGGCGUAAAGGGCGCGUAGGUGGCCUGCUAUGUCGAACGUGAAAUCCCUGGGCUCAACCCAGGAACUGCGUCCGAAACUGGCAGGCUCGAAUCCGGGAGAGGGAUGUGGAAUUCCAGGUGUAGCGGUGAAAUGCGCAGAUAUCGGGAGGAACACCUAUGGGCGGAAGGCAGCUCGCUGGGACGUUA
rnacentral:rRNA from 1 species